rnacentral:rRNA from 1 species
CGUGCCUAAUACAUGGCAAGUAAGAACCCUGAAGGGGGAGCUUCCUUCUCUGGAUGAGUUUGCGAACGGGUGAGUAACGCGUAGGUAACCUGCCUGGUAGCGGGGGAUAACAUUGGAAACGAUAGCUAAUACCGCAUAAUAGCAGUUAUUGCAUGAUAACUGUUUUGAAAAGGGCAAUUGCACCACUACCAGAUGGACCUGCGUUAUUAGCUAGUUGGUGGGGUAACGGCUCACCAAGGCAACGAUACAUAGCCGACCUGAGAGGGUGAUCGGCCACACUGGGACUGAGACACGGCCCAGAUCUCUACGGGAGGCAGCAGUAGGGAAUCUUCGGCAAUGGACGGAAGUCUGACCGAGCAACGCCGCGUGAGUGAAGAAGGUUUUCGGAUCGUAAAGCUCUGAUGUAAGAGAAGAACGAGUGUGA